UACAGAGGUCCCAAGCGUUGUUCGGAUUCACUGGGCGUAAAGGGUGCGUAGGUGGCGAGGUAAGUCGGAUGUGAAAUCUCCGAGCUCAACUCGGAAAUGGCAUUGGAAACUACCUUGCUCGAGGGUUGGAGGGGGGACUGGAAUACUUGGUGUAGCAGUGAAAUGCGUAGAUAUCAAGUGGAACACCAGUGGCGAAGGCGAGUCCCUGGACAACUCCUGGCACUGAGGCACGAAAGCUAAGGGAGCAAACAGG
rnacentral:rRNA from 1 species